GCGGAUUCGGCCUGCACAUCGGGUCGACACGCGGAUCCUUAUAGCUGAAACGGCGUCGUUUUUUAUUCUGGUGCUAAAGGUCCCUAUUCCCAUUUAUUUUCUUUCCGAAAACGCAGAUGAAAAAAAAAAGAACCCCUGCUCUGUUAGGGUUUGUUCCAUUACGUAGCCACUAAACCUCCAUCAACUUGAUGGCUAAUGGCGCGGAUGACGGCCAGAUCUUGCCAACGGAGGCCUCGACCAUGGAGAUCUGGUAACCUUGCUCCCUCUUUUCCCUUUUUUUUUAAAAAAAACUUGAAUCUUAUACUGUUCUUUCAAAAAAUUGAAACAAACUUUGAAGAUUUAAACAAAAUUUUAACACUUUCGACCCUCGCCCACAUCUAUGCAUUUCUAAGAUGUUUGGGCUUUCAUAGGCGUCGAUUCGAGUCCCUUUCAUGUGUUCAUGCUAAGAUUGCAAAACCCAUCAAAAGAAAUGAAAAAAUAGAUUUGGAAACCACCUUUCAAUAACUUUUGGCUUGAUUAUUUUAAUAUCCAGUGUGCGUAACCUUUACAGAUGAUGAAAUCUCUUGGCUUUAUAGCCGAAAAGGAAAAUCAAAAUAAAAUAAAAAAAUACAAUUUUUUCUAUAUAUUUUUUUGUAUUUGUUGUUGUGUUUCUCCUUUAUUUGUCUUCUUUUGCAGGUACGGAGGCAACGUGCCGGAGGUAGCUAGCGCAUACAGAGGCUGUUGGUGGUCGUAUGGCGCUUGGAGGCUGAAGGCUGCUGCGGAGCUGGUGCUGCGCAAGAGGGUGACCUAGGGUUUCUCUGAUUGCCAAACUUUCGGGCCAUUUGGGCCUGCUUUGUUGUGUAAUAUUGGGCUAGGGUUAUUUUGGGCCAAUGAGCUGUUAAUAUUUGUUGUAAAUGGGUUGUAAUAUUUGGAUUGUUAUAAUAUUUUUAUUAUAAUUUAUUCUCUCUUUUUUUGUUUUGUGUUUGUACGGGCGCGGGCCAAAAUUGGGCCUUAC
rnacentral:lncRNA from 1 species